rnacentral:rRNA from 1 species
UACGGGGGGGCAAGCGUUGUUCGGAAUUACUGGGCGUAAAGGGCGCGUAGGCGGUUCGCUAAGUUGGAUGUGAAAACUCUGGGCUCAACCCAGAGCCUGCAUCCAAAACUGGCGGGCUAGAGUUCUGGAGGGGGUAGCGGAAUUCCUGGUGUAGCGGUGAAAUGCGUAGAUAUCAGGAGGAACACCGGUGGCGAAGGCGGCUACCUGGACAGAAACUGACGCUGAGGCGCGAAAGCUAGGGGAGCAAACAGG